rnacentral:rRNA from 1 species
UACGAAGGGGGCUAGCGUUGUUCGGAAUUACUGGGCGUAAAGCGCACGUAGGCGGGCGAUUAAGUCAGGGGUGAAAUCCUGGAGCUCAACUCCAGAACUGCCUUUGAUACUGGCGAUCUCGAGUCCGGAAGAGGUGAGUGGAACUCCUAGUGUAGAGGUGGAAUUCGUAGAUAUUAGGAAGAACACCAGUGGCGAAGGCGGCUCACUGGUCCGGAACUGACGCUGAGGUGCGAAAGCGUGGGGAGCAAACAGGG